rnacentral:lncRNA from 1 species
UCAUAUAUAUCCACUAUUCCUAGUGCAAUAUUACCCAAAGCAUCUCUUCUCUCCCUGUACACAGGACCAAAAGUGCAGGCACAUCAUUUAUUGAUAAGACAAAAAGAAUGUAAUGAAAUUAUCAAUGUUCUUGAAUUAAUUAUGAACAUGAUUAAGAAAGCUAAAAUCUCAGGAGCCAGGAUCUCAUUACCCAUUCAGUCUUAGGGAUUGCUUUCAUUCAGCUAAGCAAAAAGGCUUUGAGCAGUCCCACAAUUGCCUUUCUCUCAUUUAUUUGUGCUAGAAUUAAGGUUUAUUUGUUUUCUGUUUUCUCCUUCUUCAGAGAUUAUUUCUCUUAGUUUAUCCAUUUAACAAAUUGUUUCUUCCUGUAUCAUAGAAGAAUGCCCCUGUAGGGCCUCCAUCACUGUCUUCUGGCUACAGACCUCCUCCUUUUGAGGGCAUUUUCUCUCCACUCAUUUUGCUGGGAGCUCCUAAAUAUCUCUCAAGGAGAUGCAAGGUUUUAAUGAUGGCACCUGAAGCAGGAACACCAAGAGUCUCUUUGGAGCCUUGUACAAGCUUUUUGAGAAAAAAAAAUAAGCUGAGUUAUUUAAGCUGCUGCUAAUUUCCAGUAAAAUUAGAAGAAAAAGAAAGGAAGAAAUGAGCCUGUGAGAAGAGUGAGAUGAUAGAUUGAAUUACAUCAGUAAAGCUGCAUGAACUGAAAGUAUCGAUAGCCUGAUAACCUGGUCUACAGGGACGAGGUCUUAGUGGUCUCUGAUUCUGAGAGGCGAAUGAUUUUUGUUUUCAA